rnacentral:lncRNA from 1 species
UUUUUUUUUUUUUUUUGAGACGGAGUCUCGCUGUGUCGCCCAGGCUGGAGUGCAGUGGCCGGAUCUCAGCUCACUGCAAGCUCUGCCUCCCGGGUUUUUACGCCAUUCUCCUGCCUCAGCCUCCCGAGUAGCCGGGACUACAGGCUCGCCACCCUCGCCCGGCUAGUUUUUUGUAUUUUUUAGUAGAGACGGGGUUUCACCGUGUUAGCCAGGAUGGUCUCGAACUCCUGACCUCGUGAUCCGCCCGUCUCGGCCUCCCAAAGUGCUGGGAUUACAGGCUUGAGCCACCGCGCCCGGCCUCCUCAUCGAUUCUUAACGCAGCAACUGAAGGAUCUUUUCAAAUGUAAGUCAGACCCUGUGGCUCCUCUGCUCCGAAGCCCCCAGGGCUGCCCAUCUCCCUUAGAGGAAAAGCCACAGUUCUGACCACAGCCACGAGGCCAUACCUGGCUGGAGCUGGCUUGAUUUUAAAAAUCAUUCCAAAUUACAAAUUUUAAGAAGCUGAUGAACACCACGAAAUUCACAGCCACAAGGCCCUCUGGCUGCCACCCACUGGGGGCUCCUGCUGCUCCCUGGGUACCUCAGGCACGCUCCCCAUCGGUGUGGCUGACCUCUGAGUUUGCAGUCCAUGCUGUGGCUCUGUCUGCCUGCUUCCCUCUGCGUGGCUGGCUCCCUCAUUUCCAUCAGUGCCUGGCAUCGGGUUUCCUGCAGGAAGAGCUGGUACCCUUGGAUCAGGCAGCUUGAGAAGAGUUUAACAGAGAGGUUAUUUACAGAGGUGUGGACGGAGUCCUGCAGGGACACUGCAGUGACCAGGGCUGGAAAUAGCGGGAGCCAGCCCCUAAACCUCGGGGAGGGGGACGGGGACAGGGACAGGGACAGGAAAGCCACUGGACCCUGGAGAGAACAGGCUGUAUGGGGAGGACUGUGGCCUCUGGCCAAGGGAUGCGGCCAGCCACAGCAGUCCCAUGGGAGGGGACCCACUCACCCUCUGCCUCCCCCCACUCUCCUGCUGGUGCCCCCACCUGGUGAACCC